rnacentral:lncRNA from 1 species
CUGAUCUUCGUCCAAGAAUAUGUAAAGAAAAAGUGUUGAGUUGGCUUUUAGGGCUAGAGCAAUGUAUCUUAGGCUCACUUAAGGAAGCUGUAGAGAUGAGCCCAAGGAGGGAAACCAGAAGAGCCCCCCAGGCUCACCAGUUGUUUGUUGGCUCCCUACAAACAUGUCAUUCAAGUGGCUAAUCUUACAACAGCACAAAUUCAUCUAACCAGCAGAAAGAGAAGAGGAGGCUCCAAAGGCACUUGACUACUGAGCAUCACCCUGGACGUGUACAAGUCUGCGUCCUUAUUGUUUUCUUCAUUGGGCCGAACUUUCUGGUCCUCAUCCAACAGCUCUUCUAUCACGUGUUCGAAAGUGUCAGCCAAUGAUGUCAAGCCUCUUGAACCUGCCUUGGGCCCAUUCACGCUCUCCAGAGUCCCAUGGGUCCGCACACCUGGAGAUACUCUAUUAUAGCAAAGAAGAAAGAUAAUUUCAUUGAGCCAUCCUGUUUUACAGGAAAUUCUGCAAGUGGCAACGUGGGUCCAUUCCGUGUGUGUCACUAGAGCUGGCGCAAGCCCAUGGCCAUGGUGAGGCAGCGUUUCCACUGGAACUAAUCUGAUACCUGCACCAGCUCUUGCAACUGUGCAGUGUUCCCACUGCAAACUACGGAUGGGGUAAAAGACUGCUCACCUCCUAUUUCUCAUCUAAUCUCACACACUCUGUUUGAUGAGGCUAUGGAGAAACAGGUCUUCUCAUACACUAAAGGUGGGAGUACAAACAAUUCAAGCCCUGUGCAGGACAAUUAGGCAAUACCUAUCAAAAUUAUACAUGAUUUUUCCUGCUGACCCAGCAAUUCCACUUCUGGGAAUAAUUGACAGAUAUAGGUGCAUAUGUACAAAAUGAUGGAAAGCUCUCUGGUAUAUAUUAGUAAGUGAUAAAACAAGGUGUAAAAUAGUGUAUAUAUGGCUACUACCUUUUGUUUUAAAAAUGGGGGAAAAUGGUGGAGCUUGCGGUGAGCCGAGAUCGUGCCACUGCACUCCAGCCUGGGCGACAGAGCGAGACUCCGUCUCAAAAAAAAAACAGGGUGGGGUGGGGGGGAAAUAAUAGUACAUACUCAUAUUUACCUGUAUCUAUAUAAAACACACUAUCAAGGAUUCACAAGAAACUAAUACAAAUGAUCACCUUAUAGAUGGUAUGUAUUGGGGGAUACUGAGGUGAGCAGGGUAUAAGUGGGGCAAGACUUUUCAGUGUAAACUUCUUUUAAAUUUUAUUUUGAUUUUUGAAUAAUGUAAAUUAACUGUCAAAUAAUUAAAUUAAAAAUAACCAAUUUAUUAACAAAACAUUUAAUCUAGUGGCUUUACUUUUGACACAAGACAAUCUCCAAAUCUCCACCAAUCACCAAAAACAGAGAUUUACACCAGUUCCUUUGCUUGUUUUUCCUGGUAAUGACUACAAUUAAGAAGUCCUGUGGGUGCCAUCUCAGUUUUGGAGAUAUUUCCCUAGAAGAAACUGAUUCAAGGUGGGACAAUUGGG